rnacentral:rRNA from 1 species
CAGAAACCCUUUGUGAACUUAUACCUUACUGUUGCCUCGGCGCAGGCCGGCCCCCCUUGGGGGGCCCCUCGUUCCUGACGAGGAGCAGGCUCGCCGGCGGCCAAGUUAACUCUUGUUUUUAAUUUGAAACUCUGAGAAUAAAACAUAAAUGAAUUAAAACUUUCAACAACGGAUCUCUUGGUUCUGGCAUCGAUGAAGAACGCAGCGAAAUGCGAUAAGUAAUGUGAAUUGCAGAAUUCAGUGAAUCAUCGAAUCUUUGAACGCACAUUGCGCCCUCUGGUAUUCCGGAGGGCAUGCCUGUUCGAGCGUCAUUUCAACCCUCAAGCCUGGCUUGGUGAUGGGGCACUGCCUUGUGUAAAAGCGAGGCAGGCCCUGAAAUUCAGUGGCGAGCUCGCCAGGACUCCGAGCGCAGUAGUUAAACCCUCGCUUUGGAAGGACUGGCGGUGCCCUGCCGUUAAACCCCCAACUCUUGAAAAUU